GCCCUCCCCUCACCUCAGACAAAGCUGGUGGAGGAGGGCCCUGCUCUGGUUUCUUCUGAUUGUUGGGGGCUCUCCCACAAGAAGCUCAGUUCUAGGUUUCAUAGCCCGGUGAGAGGUGCCUGUGGUCUUCACGGCUCACAGAGGAGUUUGGGGCUUUGCAAAUAGCUGCUGCAAAGACAAGCGUGAGGGGAAAAGAAGGUGCUUAGGACCAGAUAAAGCGGAAAUGUUUCGUGCUGCUGCACCCACAGCUCUACACCGCCACCUUGCAUGCCUCAGCUUCAGUCCUAGAGCUCUUGGAUGCUGGGAUACAACAAUCUUGCAAGAUUUUUACACCAAGCAAAUCUGUGCUUGCUCAGUCUUUGGUUGGGAAACCUCUGCCAAAUCUAGUCUGCUCCAGAAAGCCGUGCACUCCUGAUCCUGAAAGAUGAAGGCACUCCUGUAGCAUGCGUUCUGGCUCCACUGCACACAAACAGCAGUGAACUCAAGGAACUGAAGACAGUUCCCUAAUGUUUUCUUCAGUAAUCUCUCAAGUACCAGGAGAUGAAAGGAAGCCUGCGAGCUUUCAUUUUGGUCCUUUCCAUCUGCCAUUGCCUUUACCACCUGGUCAUGCUGACUGCUGAGCUACCACUGGACAUUCAUCCCAUCCAGAAGGUGGAGGAAUACCACACCACAUGCAGUAAUAUGUUAACACUGUCUUGACUUUUACAGAUAUGCAAAAAUCACAAACUGAGUCAACAGUCAAUAAUCUAGCUAAGUCAAUAGAUUGGUUGGUUAUACUGGUUAUAUUAAAUGGACAGAAAUCUAAGCACUUCGAAUCAGCUCUGUUUACAAAAGAACAUAAAUGUCUUCAGGGUUUUUGAUUUAUCAGAUUAUUUGCAGCAUAUGUUGUUAAAAAAAAAAAUUAAUCUUCUGUUUUCC